CCCUUAGAUGUUCUGGGCUGCACGCGCGCUACACUGAUGCACUCAACGAGUUUACGACCUUGCCCGAUAGGGUUGGGUAAUCUUUUUAAAAUGCAUCGUGAUGGGGAUAGAUUAUUGCAAUUAUUAAUCUUCAACGAGGAAUUCCUAGUAAGCGCGAGUCAUCAGCUCGUGCUGAUUACGUCCCUGCCCUUUGUACACACCGCCCGUCGCUCCUACCGAUUGAGUGGUCCGGUGAGGCUUUGGGAUCUGAGCGGAAAGAGCGUUUCGCUGUUUCUGCUCGGAAAACUCAGUCGAACCUUAUCAUUUAGAGGAAGGAGAAGUCGUAACA
rnacentral:rRNA from 1 species